UACGUAGGUGGCAAGCGUUGUCCGGAUUUAUUGGGUUUAAAGGGUGCGUAGGCGGUGAUUUAAGGCAGUGGUGAAAUACGGCAGCUUAACUGUCGAGGUGCCAUUGAUACUGGGUCACUUGAGUACUGAUGAGGUAGGCGGAAUGGACGGUGUAGCGGUGAAAUGCUUAGAGAUCGUCCAGAACACCGAUAGCGAAGGCAGCUUACUAAGGAGUAACUGACGCUGAGGCACGAAAGUGUGGGGAUCAAACAGG
rnacentral:rRNA from 1 species